rnacentral:lncRNA from 1 species
CAAACAUUAAUAAGCCACAUGACAUGCUUGGUGAGUCAACCAAAGCGAGGGCAUCUGUCACGGAGGGGCAGGUGGCCAGCUCUUUUUCUUCUGGGAAAGGCAAUUGAAUACGAUAAAAGCCGCUUCCACCGAGUUUGCGUUGCCAAACUCAAUCAGGACAGGGUCUUGGCUUCUCUUAAUGGAAUUAUCCGUCACUGCCUUGCCUUAAGUGGAUGGCAGAAGAGAUGUCCUCUUGGUGUACUCGGGGUGCGCUGCCCUCUAAACAACCCUGCUUCGCACGGCAUUGAUUCUCUCCGACACGGCCUAAAAUAAAAAACAAACUUUGGAUUUCACAGCCAUUUCCUCUUGCUUGUUUGCUGUCAUUUCCUCUCGCCUCGUCGUUUUUUCGAGCCCUCCGCGGAAGGUUAUUGUUUUGGAAAUUGUGUCCGGAAUGUUCUUCGCCGGCUUCCCUUGUGCGUGUUUUGUUUUCGCUUAAAAGUUUUUAUCGCUGGAAAAUAACCAGAGAAGUCAGACAAAGCCAUUUUGUUUUGGCAUUACGGGCAACGUCUCCGGGAUAUUUGAAAAACAGCUCCAUGCAAUGCUGGGAGCAGCUCAGCAUCAGCACAGAUUUCUUCCUUUCUCCUGCUUCAGAAACUGGCCCAA